rnacentral:rRNA from 1 species
GGGUUGUGAGGUUAAGCGACUAAGCGUACACGGUGGAUGCCCUGGCAGUCAGAGGCGAUGAAGGACGUGCUAAUCUGCGAUAAGCGCCGGUAAGGUGAUAUGAACCGUUAUAACCGGCGAUUUCCGAAUGGGGAAACCCAGUGUGAUUUGUCACACUAUCAUUACGUGAAUACAUAGCGUAAUGAAGCGAACCGGGGGAACUGAAACAUCUAAGUACCCCGAGGAAAAGAAAUCAACCGAGAUUCCCCCAGUAGCGGCGAGCGAACGGGGAGGAGCCCAGAGCCUGAAUCAGCAUGUGUGUUAGUGGAAGCGUCUGGAAAGGCGCGCGAUACAGGGUGACAGCCCCGUACACAAAAGCGCAUGUGUUGUGAGCUCGAUGAGUAGGGCGGGACACGUGGUAUCCUGUCUGAAUAUGGGGGGACCAUCCUCCAAGGCUAAAUACUCCUGACUGACCGAUAGUGAACCAGUACCGUGAGGGAAAGGCGAAAAGAACCCCGGCGAGGGGAGUGAAAAAGAACCUGAAACCGUGUACGUACAAGCAGUGGGAGCCCCACCACUAAGCCAGUGGUGAACUCCACAUACGCAUCCUUUGCUGAGGAUACGGUUAACGGAGCGAAAGCGACGUUCAACCGCAAAAGAAGCAGAGGGGGCUUAGUGGUGGGGUGACUGCGUACCUUUUGUAUAAUGGGUCAGCGACUUAUAUUCUGUAGCAAGGUUAACCG